GAAGUCGUGGCAAGCGAUUUCGGAGCAGCCUGAGGGUUCGGCCUACCCCUUGUCCUUCCAUCGCUCUGGGCUUUGAGGGCAUGGAAGUUCUUUCUCCUGCAGGCUGGCCACAGGGAGCCUGAGAAAGAGCCUUCUGCUUUGUUCUCCAAUUACAGCUUUACUAAGCCGAACCAUGCGCUGUCUCCCAAAGGCAGAGAGCAGUUUCCAUCCUGUGUACUCCGUAGUUGAGCAAGAAGGAUGUGAAAGGACCCACGAUGCAGCUUAACAUGGGCACUGACAGAGGCAGCAUCCUGGCACUACAGCUCAGCUCUUGGCUCCUCCCAGGAGCCCCAGGGUGUGGUAAGAGAAAAGGUCAUGAGCAAACAUCUCAAGGCACAGCUGCUUCUGGACUAAGAGCUUUGAAUUCCGGUGCCGCAGACCAUGUGUUGCUCAUCAGAAACUGCAAAGUCCCACCAGGCUAACUGACGAAUUCUGAAACAGGCCUUCGAGUUCUCAACCAAGAACACAGGACUGAACACUUCCUGCAACCAAGAUGCCACUGCCUUGCCCUGAAUCAGAUAAGUAGUCUUGUCCAGUUCUCUAUAAGUAAUUUCUAGCAAGAGAGCGCAUCUCUCAACAGACCCCAUGGAUUCACUCCUGACGGCGAAGUAAAGAACAAAGCCCACCUUUGAGAGUUCCUGAUAUUGACGGAAUAACUACAAAGGAGCUGGCUACCUCCAGUUCUCUUCCUUUCUCAUCUCUUCCUAGAGAAGGGACUGGAGAAGUGGAUUAAGGUAAGGACCCACCUUCCAUUCGACCAUUCGACGUUGCUCGUCCACAGAUCAACAAAAUGAGGAUACUGGGAGCCUCGUUGCGGUGUGAAGAUCAGAUGGUGACUGUCUAGGAUUAGGAAACUUUUUGAAAACUGUUCUGUGAUACAAAUGUAAAGGAUUCCUAUUGUCAACAUUGUAACUAUUUCCACUCCUCUUCUGAGGCCAACGCAGCUGCAGCCCAGCCUUUCUUUCUCUCCUCACCUCCAAUGACUUCUAGAUAGGCCCAGACUUAACCAGGUUCCUGUGAUAAGCACCCCCUGGGGUUUCAGUGGUGCAGCCUCUCUCCUUCCAGGAUAGUACAGGUAUCUGUAAGAGAGGGACAGGCAGAGUCAGCUUGAACUUUCUGUGUCCACCAUGGUCUUUCUUACCUUGAUUUCAGGAAUAAAGGGCAAAAGGAAACGAAGAUUAAAAAAAAGGUCUGGGAUCCACAGUCCUCUUCAGUCUCUCCAUGUCUUGACCCCACAUUCCUCAACUCUUUAGUUCAGAAGGAAUUGGACAGCCAGCCUUGGCAUUAAAUUGACUACUCUGGGUACAGGGUCUUUGAGUUGCCUUUAUUCUGGGAGCAAGCCACUUGCACUUAAUUAUAUAGUUUAUUUCUGUUUCCUAUCCCUCGGAUCCUUGCAUGAGAGAACAUGAAAGGACAUGGCUGUCCCCAGAUUCCUUCUCUUAUGAGACCCACAGCUUAAAAAUCUCUCACAAAAGAAGGAGCUGCUUAUGAAAACCUUGUACAAUUUAUUGACGUUAUUCUGUCUUAAUUGGGCCAAACUGUGUUUUCUUCCUUUAUAAGCAGACGAUUAAGAAUAUAUGUGCACCAAAAAGACAAGGACAAGAAGAUUAAUGGGAACUGUAUUUGCUCGGAGAAUGUGAGGAAGUAAAAUCUACAUUUGAAGCAGCCACAACAUAAUGUGGAAACAACCUCAAAUGUUCAUUAACAAAAAAGGGGGGGGGGCGAAUCGCGGCAAAAGUAGACAAUUGUGUCUUAUGCAGCAUUAAAAGCAAAUAAGCCCCUGUUGCAUGCAAUAUAAUGCCCAUACUGUGCAAAUAUGAUUUUUUAACAAGAGUUACCAGACCCAGAAUAGAUAUGUUUCAAUUUACAUAAAAUUCAAAACUAACCUAUAGCAUGGGCAGUCACGAUGAUGCCUCCUUUAGGGAAAAAGUAGGAAAAAAGUAGGAAAAGUAAGAAAUAAUGAAUGGGGGAUACCACACAACCUCUGGUGGGGGAUAGAAACAGUUGCCCAGUGCACUCCUACUGUG